GGAGGGAAAAAAAAAAGAUUCACCUGCAAGAAGUGUUCUUCAUCUAUUACAAAACCUGUGUUCCAUGCUUAUGCCUGAGGUGGAGGAUAAAAGCCACAGAGGGUACAGAGGUUUAGGAUGGGCCAAAGAGCUUCGGGGAAGUAAAGGAUCACAAUUUUGAAGGAAGAGGAAGACUCAGUGGAGGAGACAAAGAAAGAAGAAAAGCAGGUCAGUGUUGCUGGAACAGAAGCUGCAUGUCAGGGAGCAGCCCAGGAUGAGGCCAAAAAAACUGCUGAAGACAUUCAAUGGUAUCUUCAUCAAUUUAAUGUCAACAGAGGGAACGUUUGGGGGUGGAGCAGUUACAAUCCCGUUAACCUCAGGCAACAUCAUGUUCUGCUGCCACUGGGUGAAAAUUAAGGUAGACGAAAGAAAUAACAAUCACUCGUGUCCUGAGAUUUACGUACAGAAGCAAUCCAAGCAACUCACACCCUGGGAAGCAUUGAAACAGAAGCAAAGCAGAAGAUUCCUUUUAAAAUCGGAGGACAAUUUAUAAGUAGCUGAAUCUGAAUGGGGAAAACAUUACUUUGCUUGCCCACCUGGCACUCGACCAACCUUGCAGGUGUCUGGGCAUCCUUGAACUUAAAUUUAAGCCCAGAAACCAAGAAAACUUCCAUGACUGAGUGGCAGGUCAAAGAAGAGUUUCUAACUAAGAUACCACAGUAAAAUGCAAGUAAUUGGGAACCUUUUUGUGAUCAAAAGGCACCUGUUCAUAGCUUGCUCUGCUGAGGUGCUUCUCAGUUUGGUGUACAUCCUAGGGUUUUCCAAGACGCAAACACCAGGAGAGCAAGGAUGUGAAUUUUCUGUACCCUCGUGUUUGCAAUUUGGCCCAGAGAAGUUUGGAAGGUGGU